rnacentral:rRNA from 1 species
CACGUAGGGUGCGAGCGUUUGUCCGGAAUUAUUGGGCGUAAAGAGCUCGUAGGCGGUGUGUCGCGUCGGCCGUGAAAACCUGCAGCUUAACUGUGGGCUUGCGGUCGAUACGGGCAUCACUGGAGUUCGGCAGGGGGAGACUGGAAUUCCUGGUGUAGCGGUGAAAUGCGCAGAUAUCAGGAGGAACACCGGUGGCGAAGGCGCUCUGCUGGACCAUAACUGACAUCAGGGACGAAAAGCUAGGGGGAGCGAAUGGG